GACGAACGCUGGCGGCGUGCUUAACACAUGCAAGUCGAACGCUGAAGCUCAGCUUGCUGGGUGGAUGAGUGGCGAACGGGUGAGUAACACGUGAGUAACCUGCCCUCUUCUUUGGGAUAACGCCCGGAAACGGGUGCUAAUACUGGAUAUUCACUGAUUCUCGCAUGGGGGUUGGUGGAAAGGUUUUUUCUGGUGGGGGAUGGGCUCGCGGCCUAUCAGCUUGUUGGUGGGGUGAUGGCUUACCAAGGCUUUGACGGGUAGCCGGCCUGAGAGGGUGACCGGUCACAUUGGGACUGAGAUACGGCCCAGACUCCUACGGGAGGCAGCAGUGGGGAAUAUUGCACAAUGGGCGAAAGCCUGAUGCAGCGACGCCGCGUGAGGGAUGGAGGCCUUCGGGUUGUAAACCUCUUUCGCUCAUGGUCAAGCCGCAGCUUUGGGUUGUGGUGAGGGUAGUGGGUAAAGAAGCGCCGGCCAACUACGUG
rnacentral:rRNA from 1 species